CCUACGGGUGGCAGCAGUGAGGAAUAUUGGUCAAUGGCCGGAAGGCUGAACCAGCCAUGCCGCGUGAAGGUCAGUGCCCUAUGGGCGUUAAACUUCUUUUGUGCGGGAGCAAUAAUGGUCACGUGUGGCCAGACGAGAGUACCGUACGAAUAAGCAUCGGCUAACUCCGUGCCAGCAGCCGCGGUAAUACGGGGGGUGCAAGCGUUAUCCGGAGUUAUUGGGUUUAAAGGGUGCGUAGGCUGGGAGGUAAGUCAGCGGUGAAAUGCCCCCGCUCAACGGGGUGAAGUGCCAUUGAAACUGGCAUGCUGGAAUGCUGAUGCCGUGGGAGGAAUGUGUGGUGUAGCGGUGAAAUGCAUAGAUAUCACACAGAACACCGAUUGCGAAGGCAGCUCACGAGUCUGCGAUUGACGCUGAUGCACGAAAGCGUGGGUAUCAAACAGGAUUAGAUACCCGAGUAGUC
rnacentral:rRNA from 1 species